CCUACGGGUGGCUGCAGUGGGGAAUAUUGGACAAUGGGCGAAAGCCUGAUCCAGCCAUGCCGCGUGUGUGAAGAAGGCCUUCGGGUUGUAAAGCACUUUCAGUGGGGAAGAAAGCCUUGGGGCUAAUACCCUCGAGGAAGGACAUCACCCACAGAAGAAGCACCGGCUAACUCCGUGCCAGCAGCCGCGGUAAUACGGAGGGUGCGAGCGUUAAUCGGAAUUACUGGGCGUAAAGCGCGCGUAGGCGGUCUGAUAAGCCGGUUGUGAAAGCCCCGGGCUCAACCUGGGAACGGCAUCCGGAACUGUCAGGAUAGAGUGCAGGAGAGGAAGGUAGAAUUCCCGGUGUAGCGGUGAAAUGCGUAGAGAUCGGGAGGAAUACCAGUGGCGAAGGCGGCCUUCUGGACUGACACUGACGCUGAGGUGCGAAAGCGUGGGUAGCAAACAGGAUUAGAUACCCUUGUAGUC
rnacentral:rRNA from 1 species